rnacentral:misc_RNA from 1 species
GAUGAAGAACGUAGCGAAAUGCGAUAAGUAAUGUGAAUUGCAGAAUUCAGUGAAUCAUCGAAUCUUUGAACGCACAUUGCGCCCCCUGGUAUUCCGGGGGGCAUGCCUGUCCGAGCGUCAUUACAACCCUCAAGCUCAGCUUGGUGUUGGGCCCCGCCGUCCCGGCGGGCCCUAAAGUCAGUGGCGGUGCCGUCCGGCUCCGAGCGUAGUAAUUCUUCUCGCUCUGGAGGUCCGGUCGUGUGCUCGCCAGCAACCCCCAAUUUUUUCAGGUUGACCUCGGAUCAGGUAGGGAUACCCGCUGAACUUAAGCAUAUCAAUAAGCGGAGGA